rnacentral:piRNA from 1 species
UGACCUUGAGGCAACAGAACUCC